GUCUCGCCAGCAGCCGGUGGCACAUGCGGGCGGCACGGGGGCUGCGUGGUGGCCUCUGUGAUGUCACCUGGCAGAGGGUCGACCAGGGAGCACAGAGCCCUGAACAUCCCUUCAACAGCGCGCCACACGCUCCUGGCACAAACUCCAGACCACGGCACAGCACCCAGAUGGCUGCAGCCACGCAGAAACCCACAACUGCCAGGACCGUGGGGUGACAGCCACGGUGGGCUCUGCAGGCCCCUCUGGUCUAAGACACCAGGAGGCCACAUCCAGCAACCAAGGCCACCCGGCAGGACACGUCAGGA
rnacentral:lncRNA from 1 species